UUGUGAGGUUAAGCGACUAAGCGUACACGGUGGAUGCCCUGGCAGUCAGAGGCGAUGAAGGACGUGCUAAUCUGCGAUAAGCGUCGGUGAGGUGAUAUGAACCGUUAUAACCGGCGAUUUCCGAAUGGGGAAACCCAGUGUGUUUCGACACACUAUCAUUAACUGAAUCCAUAGGUUAAUGAGGCGAACCGGGGGAACUGAAACAUCUAAGUACCCCGAGGAAAAGAAAUCAACCGAGAUUCCCCCAGUAGCGGCGAGCGAACGGGGAGGAGCCCAGAGCCUGAAUCAGUGUGUGUGUUAGUGGAAGCGUCUGGAAAGGCGCGCGAUACAGGGUGACAGCCCCGUACACAAAAAUGCACAUAUUGUGAGCUCGAUGAGUAGGGCGGGACACGUGGUAUCCUGUCUGAAUAUGGGGGGACCAUCCUCCAAGGCUAAAUACUCCUGACUGACCGAUAGUGAACCAGUACCGUGAGGGAAAGGCGAAAAGAACCCCGGCGAGGGGAGUGAAAAAGAACCUGAAACCGUGUACGUACAAGCAGUGGGAGCCUCUUAAUGGGGUGACUGCGUACCUUUUGUAUAAUGGGUCAGCGACUUAUAUUCUGUAGCAAGGUUAACCGAAUAGGGGAGCCGGAGGGAAACCGAGUCUUAACUGGGCGUUAAGUUGCAGGGUAUAGACCCGAAACCCGGUGAUCUAGCCAUGGGCAGGUUGAAGGUUGGGUAACACUAACUGGAGGACCGAACCGACUAAUGUUGAAAAAUUAGCGGAUGACUUGUGGCUGGGGGUGAAAGGCCAAUCAAACCGGGAGAUAGCUGGUUCUCCCCGAAAGCUAUUUAGGUAGCGCCUCGUGAAUUCAUCUCCGGGGGUAGAGCACUGUUUCGGCAAGGGGGUCAUCCCGACUUACCAACCCGAUGCAAACUGCGAAUACCGGAGAAUGUUAUCACGGGAGACACACGGCGGGUGCUAACGUCCGUCGUGAAGAGGGAAACAACCCAGACCGCCAGCUAAGGUCCCAAAGUCAUGGUUAAGUGGGAAACGAUGUGGGAAGGCCCAGACAGCCAGGAUGUUGGCUUAGAAGCAGCCAUCAUUUAAAGAAAGCGUAAUAGCUCACUGGUCGAGUCGGCCUGCGCGGAAGAUGUAACGGGGCUAAACCAUGCACCGAAGCUGCGGCAGCGACGCUUAUGCGUUGUUGGGUAGGGGAGCGUUCUGUAAGCCUGCGAAGGUGUGCUGUGAGGCAUGCUGGAGGUAUCAGAAGUGCGAAUGCUGACAUAAGUAACGAUAAAGCGGGUGAAAAGCCCGCUCGCCGGAAGACCAAGGGUUCCUGUCCAACGUUAAUCGGGGCAGGGUGAGUCGACCCCUAAGGCGAGGCCGAAAGGCGUAGUCGAUGGGAAACAGGUUAAUAUUCCUGUACUUGGUGUUACUGCGAAGGGGGGACGGAGAAGGCUAUGUUGGCCGGGCGACGGUUGUCCCGGUUUAAGCGUGUAGGCUGGUUUUCCAGGCAAAUCCGGAAAAUCAAGGCUGAGGCGUGAUGACGAGGCACUACGGUGCUGAAGCAACAAAUGCCCUGCUUCCAGGAAAAGCCUCUAAGCAUCAGGUAACAUCAAAUCGUACCCCAAACCGACACAGGUGGUCAGGUAGAGAAUACCAAGGCGCUUGAGAGAACUCGGGUGAAGGAACUAGGCAAAAUGGUGCCGUAACUUCGGGAGAAGGCACGCUGAUAUGUAGGUGAAGCGACUUGCUCGUGGAGCUGAAAUCAGUCGAAGAUACCAGCUGGCUGCAACUGUUUAUUAAAAACACAGCACUGUGCAAACACGAAAGUGGACGUAUACGGUGUGACGCCUGCCCGGUGCCGGAAGGUUAAUUGAUGGGGUUAGCGGUAACGCGAAGCUCUUGAUCGAAGCCCCGGUAAACGGCGGCCGUAACUAUAACGGUCCUAAGGUAGCGAAAUUCCUUGUCGGGUAAGUUCCGACCUGCACGAAUGGCGUAAUGAUGGCCAGGCUGUCUCCACCCGAGACUCAGUGAAAUUGAACUCGCUGUGAAGAUGCAGUGUACCCGCGGCAAGACGGAAAGACCCCGUGAACCUUUACUAUAGCUUGACACUGAACAUUGAGCCUUGAUGUGUAGGAUAGGUGGGAGGCUUUGAAGUGUGGACGCCAGUCUGCAUGGAGCCGACCUUGAAAUACCACCCUUUAAUGUUUGAUGUUCUAACGUUGGCCCCUGAUCGGGGUUGCGGACAGUGUCUGGUGGGUAGUUUGACUGGGGCGGUCUCCUCCUAAAGAGUAACGGAGGAGCACGAAGGUUGGCUAAUCCUGGUCGGACAUCAGGAGGUUAGUGCAAUGGCAUAAGCCAGCUUGACUGCGAGCGUGACGGCGCGAGCAGGUGCGAAAGCAGGUCAUAGUGAUCCGGUGGUUCUGAAUGGAAGGGCCAUCGCUCAACGGAUAAAAGGUACUCCGGGGAUAACAGGCUGAUACCGCCCAAGAGUUCAUAUCGACGGCGGUGUUUGGCACCUCGAUGUCGGCUCAUCACAUCCUGGGGCUGAAGUAGGUCCCAAGGGUAUGGCUGUUCGCCAUUUAAAGUGGUACGCGAGCUGGGUUUAGAACGUCGUGAGACAGUUCGGUCCCUAUCUGCCGUGGGCGCUGGAGAACUGAGGGGGGCUGCUCCUAGUACGAGAGGACCGGAGUGGACGCAUCACUGGUGUUCGGGUUGUCAUGCCAAUGGCACUGCCCGGUAGCUAAAUGCGGAAGAGAUAAGUGCUGAAAGCAUCUAAGCACGAAACUUGCCCCGAGAUGAGUUCUCCCUGAGACUUUAAGUCUCCUGAAGGAACGUUGAAGACGACGACGUUGAUAGGCCGGGUGUGUAAGCGCAGCGAUGCGUUGAGCUAACCGGUACUAAUGAACCGUGAGG
rnacentral:rRNA from 1 species